rnacentral:rRNA from 1 species
AGCGAACGUUAGCGGCGGGCCUAACACAUGCAAGUCGAGCGAGAAAGGGGGCAACCCUGAGUAAGGCGGCGGACGGGUGAGGAACACGUAGGUAAUCUGCCCUUCGAUGGAGGACAACGGUCCGAAAGGACCGCUAAUACUGCAUACGUUCCCCGGGAUUCCGGUCCUGGGGAGGAAAGCCUCGCAAGGGGCGGCGAAGGAGGAGCCAGCGUCGCAUCAGCUAGUUGGUGGGGUAACGGCCUAUCAAGGCGAAGAGGCGUAGCUUGUCUGAGAGGGUGAGCAGCCACACUGGGACUGAGACACGGCCCAGACUCCUACGGGAGGCAGCAGUAGGGAAUCUUGCGCAAUGGGCGAAAGCCUGACGCAGCGACGCCGCGUGCGGGACGAAGGCCCUCGGGUUGUAAACCGCUUUCAGCAGGGACGAAGCGAAAGUGACGGUACCUGCAGAAGAAGGUCCGGCCAACUACGUGCCAGCCGCCGCAGUAACAC